AGAGCGAACGCUGGCGGCAGGCCUAACACAUGCAAGUCGAGCGCUCCGCAAGGGGAGCGGCAGACGGGAGAGUAACACGUGGGAACGUACCCUUCAGUUCGGAACAACCCAGGGAAACUUGGGCUAAUACCGAAUACGUCCGUAAGGAGAAAGAUUUAUCGCUGAAGGAUCGGCCCGCGUCUGAUUAGCUUGUUGGUGAGGUAACGGCUCACCAAGGCGACGAUCAGUAGCUGGUCUGAGAGGAUGAUCAGCCUCACUGGGACUGAGACACGGCCCAGACUCCUACGGGAGGCAGCAGUGGGGAAUAUUGGACAAUGGGCGCAAGCCUGAUCCAGCCAUGCCGCGUGGGUGAUGAAGGCCCUAGGGUUGUAAAGCCCUUUCGGCGGGGAAGAUAAUGACGGUACCCGCAGAAGAAGCCCGGCUAACUCGUGCCAGCAGCCGC
rnacentral:rRNA from 1 species